GGCAGAAGCCGGCUGGACACGCGGUGGCCAGGUUUCUGACCGUUCUGGCACAGGAGCCUGGAAUCUGCCCCGGACGUGCCCUGCCCAGGAGCUUUGGGGGGACCCAUCUACCCCAUCAGAACAACAGGGAAGCAUCCAGAAUCCAGGAGAUGACGCAGAACCCAGCUCCACGAGAAUGGGAAUAAACACGUUAUUUGGACCUGAACAAGGUGCUCACGGAGCUGGAAGACCCUGCGUGUCCUCCACGGACCCCGACCACGCUCACUCCUAGCAGUCGGGCCCGUCUUGGAAUUUCCUGCAACAAUCAAGGACACAGAGUUUCUCGGGGGCGCUGGGGGGGGCAAGCCAGAGAAACGGACUCGAAUCCCCCGUGUUUUGGAGGUGUUCAAGAGCAUUUCCUGGAACAGAGCGGUGGGGAGC